CCUACGGGAGACAGCAGUGAGGAAUAUUGGGCAAUGGACGAGAGUCUGAACCAGCCAAGUAGCGUGAAGGAUGACUGCCCUAUGGGUUGUAAACUUCUUUUAUAAAGGAAUAAAACGAGGCACGUGUGCCGUUUUGCAUGUACUUUAUGAAUAAGGAUCGGAUAACGCCGUGCCAGCAGCCGCGGUAAUACGGAGGAUCCGAGCGUUAUCCGGAUUUAUUGGGUUUAAAGGGAGCGUAGAUGGGUUGUUAAGUCAGUUGUGAAAGUUUGCGGCUCAACCGUAAAAUUGCAAUUGAUACUGGCAGUCUUGAGUACAGUUGAGGUAAGCGGAAUUCGUGGUGUAGCGGUGAAAUGCUUAGAUAUCACGAAGAACCCCGAUUGCGAAGGCAGCUUACUAAACUGUGACUGACAUUGAUGCUCGAAAGUGUGGGUAUCAAACAGGAUUAGAUACCCGAGUAGUC
rnacentral:rRNA from 1 species